rnacentral:rRNA from 1 species
CGGGACGGGGUGGAGGUAACGCGUGGGUGACCUGCCCCAUACCGGGGGAUAACAGCUGGAAACGGCUGCUAAUACCGCAUAAGCGCACAGAGCUGCAUGGCUCAGUGUGAAAAACUCCGGUGGUAUGGGAUGGGCCCGCGUCUGAUUAGGCAGUUGGCGGGGUAACGGCCCACCAAACCGACGAUCAGUAGCCGGCCUGAGAGGGCGACCGGCCACAUUGGGACUGAGACACGGCCCAA